rnacentral:rRNA from 1 species
GGUGAGGUAAUGGCUCACCAAGGACGACGAUCCCUAGCUGGUUUGUAGAGGAUGAUCAGCCACACUGGGACUGAGACACGGCCCAGACUCCUACGGGAGGCAGCAGUGGGGAAUAUUGCACAAUGGGCGCUAAGCCUGAAUGCAGCCAUGCCGCGUGUGUAGAAGAAGGCCUUCGGGUUGUAAAGCACUUUCAGUCAGGAGGAAAGCGUGGUGGUUAAUACCCAUCAUGUGUGACGUUACUGACAGAAGAAGCACCGGCUAACUCCGUGCCAGCAGCCGCGGUAA